rnacentral:rRNA from 1 species
CCUACGGGAGGCAGCAGUGGGGAAUAUUGGAUAAUGGGCGGAAGCCUGAUCCAACAACGCCGCGUGAGGGAUGACGGCCUUCGGGUUGUAAACCUCUUUCACCACCGACGAAGCGUGAGUGACGGUAGGUGGGGAAGAAGCACCGGCCAACUACGUGCCCCCAGCCGCGGUAAUACGUAGGGUGCGAGCGUUGUCCGGAAUUAUUGGGCGUAAAGGGCUCGUAGGCGGUUUGUCGCGCCGGGAGUGAAAUCCUCGGGCUUAACUCGGGGCUUGCUUUCCAUACGGGCAGACUGGAGGUAUGCAUGGGAGAACGGAAUUCCUGGUGUGACGGUGAAAUGCGCAAAUAUCGAGACGAACACAGAUGGCGAAGGCCUUUCUCUGGUCAUGACCUGACGCUCAGGAGCGCAGGUGUGGGGAGCGAACAGGAUUAGAUACCCUGGUAGUCCCCUCCGUAGACCUUCCGUACUUUGUGCGGGACUCUACCCCCGGGGGUAC